rnacentral:rRNA from 1 species
AUUGAACGCUGGCGGCAGGCCUAACACAUGCAAGUCGAACGAGCGGCGGCCGGGUGAGUACUGUCUGGGAAACUGCCCGAUGGAGGGGGAUAACUACUGGAAACGGUAGCUAAUACCGCAUACCAUCGGAUGUGCCCAGAGGGGAUUAGCUAGUAGGUGGGGUAAAGGCUCACCUAGGCGACGAUCCCUAGCUGGUCUGAGAGGAUGACCAGCAACACUGGAACUGAGACACGGUCCAGACUCCUACGGGAGGCAGCAGUGGGGAAUAUUGCACAAUGGGCGCAAGCCUGAUGCAGCCAUGCCGCGUGUAUGAAGAAGGCCUUCGGGUUGUAAAGCACUUUCAGCGAGGAGGCGUUACUCGCAGAAGAAGCACCGGCUAACUCCGUGCCAGCAGCCGCGGUAAUUC